GACGUAGGGGGCCAGCGUUGUUCGGAAUUACUGGGUGUAAAGGGUUCGUAGGCGGUGCGGCAAGUCGGGAGUGAAAUCUCUGGGCUUAACCCAGAGGCUGCUUCCGAAACUGCUGUGCUUGAGUGUGGGAGAGGCGCGUGGAAUUGCAGGUGUAGCGGUGAAAUGCGUAGAUAUCUGCAGGAACACCCGUGGCGAAAGCGGCGCGCUGGACCACUACUGACGCUGAGGCACGAAAGCGUGGGGAGCAAACAGG
rnacentral:rRNA from 1 species